rnacentral:lncRNA from 1 species
CUCUGCUUUGCCCUCCUCAGACUGGCUACUGUGCUUUACUCUAAGGCUUUGAGGUUCCCCCCCUGUCCCAGCUGAUCUCCCUACCAGCCGGGGGCUUCUAGGGUGCAGAUUCCUUUCCUCUUUAACAGCUCCUUCCCAGGAGUGCUGGUCCUGUCCUGUUUCCUCUCUUUUUUUCCUUUUGUCCUACCCAAUUAUGUGGAGAUUGUCUUGCCUUUUUGGAAGUCUGAGGUCUUCUGCCAGCCUUCAGUAGAUGUUCUGUGAGAAUCAUUCUAUAGGUAGAUGUGGGGGUUUGGGGUAUAUUUGUGGGAGAGGGUGAGCUCCACAUCCUGCUCCUUCAACCAUCUUGAUUCCACUCCCUCAAUAUAAUUCUUAGUAGUUCCAUAUAGUGUAUUGUGAGGAUGUUCCAUUCAUUGUUAAUUAUCCCUAAUUUCUUGGGUGUUUGGUUUCUUUCUCAGUUUGUCUUCCUUUCACUGACAAGUAAGACCAAUCAUCUUUUUUCUCGUAUGACUAUUUUUUUUUUUUUUUUUUUUUUGCAGAAGAUGGCACUGUUUCCUAGAAAAGUGAGUGAAGUUACCCUUGACCAAUUAAGGAAGGAGAAAAGACCCUUCCAGAUGAUGAAGCAAGUUACCCCUGGAGUGCGCCCUCUGCAGCCUCACCUGGUCUGUCCAGGUAAGAUUCCAGUGAUGUCUCACAAACCAGCAUCACACUGCCUGGGACUCUAUGGAGCAGAAAUGCCUGUCCAUUUUCUGGUCACUCUUGUGAAGAGGAUGGACAUUUUGUGAUAGAUUUUCCCUAUGAGGAGAGUCCAACACCAGCCCUCCAAAAUUUAGGUGUGGAAAACAGAUUUCAGUCCUGUAAGGAGAGAAAAGUCAUAUGCAGAUCAUCUGACUCUUCUCCACAAGGGAAGAAAAGCAGGCAGCAUAGCACUCACUUGAUGCUGUUCCGACUCAGAGGAAAACCAGUGGGAGAAAACACACUCUGGGAAUACCAUCUUUUUUUGGAGGGCAGGGGUUGUCACCUUUAAAUUGUAAUAAUGUACUGUCACAUCUGAUCUAAUAUCAGUUAUAAAUUCCCCUGGAAAGAACCUCCCAUCGCACCCACUUCAUUAAAGCAUUCUGCUAAUUUGCCUUCCCUGAGAAAAUGUUUCCAGGGAAAAAGGUGAGAAUCAUCCCUACAGCCCAGCAGUAGGCUGGACUGGGUGUUACCAGCAACCAUAUAAAUCCUUUAAGGACGUGAUUGUCCUCUUUUCACGAGAGAAUGAAUUAGCAAAAUCAAUCUGCAGGGGUUGCAACUGUUUUUCUUGGGGCAGGUAAAACUGAGAGCACUGUUAUUGCUUAUCUCUCUGCUUUCUAGCUGUGAUGGGAGGAGGGGGAGAGCAGAGUGUUCUAUAGCUGAUUUGAAAUUUUCUGUCAUUUGUGUGAGUGUACUGAUUUUUCUCAAUCAUGCAUUCGUUUUAACAGUCAUUUGUUGAGUGUCGAUGAUAUGUCUUGUAUUUGCUGAGGUGCUGGAGAUUCAACAAGCCCUAAACACACCCAGUUCCUCCUUCACGGAGCCCACUUUCUCACAGCCCCGCCAGAGGCAGAGAGGAACCCAGGCUGACCCGCUUCUCACAGUUGGGUUGUGGGGACGGAUAUGCAAGGAAAGGAAACAUGUGACAGUGAGAUUGGACACAGCUGGGGAAAGGACAGAAAAGAGCUGGGGUGGGAGAGGGCUGGGAGGGACUCUGGGUGGGAAAGCAUCAGUGGAACUUGGGGUCACAUGGAGGCCACAUGCAGCAUGGUGUGCCAUGUGAUCCCUUCCAGAGCUUUUUAAAAAUAGUCCAAAAGAUAAAAACUAAAUGCUACUUGAGGAUACAUUUCUUGUGAAAAGUGAUGACAGGACUAGCACUUGCACUUUAAUGGCUGUGAGAAGAUGAGUGUGGGCAGCACACCUGGGUACCAGCCCCGCCAUGUGCGUGUGCACAUAGUGAGCUCAGAUGUUCCUCUCCGGGCCUUUAGAGAUAGAUCUUUUUCACUCUUCCUUCCUUCCUUCCUCUCUCCCUACAGUUAGUUUACAUUAUCUCUACAAAGAGAAACAGGAUCUUAAAACUGUUUACAGUUUUGCUUCCUAUCACUUUAAGAUUUCUAUUAUGGUUCUCAUUUUUCCCUCUCAUUGGACUUUUGGGUCUUGUAACUGUUUCUGAUUUCAGAAAUGCGGGUUUUGUUGUUGUUUUGCAUGUCAUUUUGUUCUGUUUCUUUGUUUACUAGCAGGGGUUUUUCCUAAUUUAGAUUCUCUGUGGAAGUUCAAAAUUGCUCUUUGCUCAGCGGUAUUCAGUUUGGGACCCACAACUUAAGGUGAAUUUGGAGAAUUUUUUUUUAAUCCAGAAAAAGAAAAAAAUGCUUAUGGGGUGAGGAAGUAAGAAUUAUAGUGAAAGAGUGUAGGAGAUGAGAUCAUUUCAGCAACAGACAGCCAAAGAUGUCUUGUUUAUUUAAUCCACUGGCUUCAUACUUGGGUCUCUACUCUCAAGAAAUUCAAAUGAAUUUGGAACAGUUCUCCUUGGAAUUCUGGUUAGAACUAUUCUCACAAACUUUUAAAAACUCUUGUUCCUUCAUCCUCAUCUAUGUAAAACUAGAGUAUAAGUAUCCAACACUGUUAUCUUGGAUACAAAGUAUGCAGUUCACAUGAAUGAAUAAUGACUCAAAUGUCUUUAUAGAGAGAAAAGGCUGAUAACCAGCUGUUUUUAGUUUGUACUCAUAAAUAAAUAAGAGGACACUGUUCCAAAUUGUAGCUUAGAAUCUCUUGGUAUUAUACAAUGUGGAAUUACCGACAAUUAUGUUUGUUCAGUAUUAGAAGGGGCCAUCGUUUUUUCUGGAAGGAAACAAUGUGAGCCAUUCAGCAUAUCCCCCAGAAGCUGCAAAUAAUCUUUUUUGUUUUGUUUUUAAUUGCUUUAAAAUUUUUUUAAAUUGACAUAUAGUUGAUUUACAAUGUUGUAUUUCUGCUGUACAGCAAAGUGACUCAGUUAUGUGUGUAUAUAUAUAUAUAUAUAUAUUCCUUUUCAUAUUCUUUUCAUUAUGAGUUAUGCAAAUAACCUCAUUGCAGGAAACUGGUCUUUCCCUGAGGGUCUAACUCUGGCAUUUGCCUUGUGGGGGAAAAAUUGUUAGUCUUCUGCCCUUUUUCAACUUUUUAAGGUGUUUUCCUUCAAUAUUUUUAUCAAUGUAAAUUUUUUAACAUUCAUGAGAGGGACAUAUUUUUUGUGCAUAUAAAGUUCAUUUAGAAUUGUGUACAUCUUAAAUUAAUAUCUGUCUAUAAAAUUAAUAUUUAGAUUUCAAUAAUAAGCUGAGAAUAGUCACCUAUAUGUUUUAUCUGAUUAAAAUUCAGUGAACCGCUGUGACCCAGUGCAAGUGAAAGACCUGAAGUUUAUGCUUCAUUAGCUGAGGCUCACCCAGAUGUGGUACCCCGGUGAAGGACUGGAUAUAAGUCCUGGUUUCCCAGAAACCCCCAGGUUAUGCUUGCCAUUCUUGUUUAAAUUUUAAUAAUUCCCCUUUUCUUUUGGAAAAAAACCAGUCCUGGUUUGCAUGACAAAUUAUAUGGUCUUUCGAUUUAUGUUGGACACUCUGUGGCCACAAAAACUGGGCCUGAAUAGGAAGCGGUCAGCCCUAACUUUAACGUCUUCAUUGCCUUUCUGCUCCAGCCAUCAGGCGGGGCGCAGGGAGGGUAAAAUCCCUGAGCUGAUUAUAAUGGGUUGCAAAGAAGGUUCCUAUUGAUCAUCGUUUCUAUCUUCUUAAAGGGUAUUGUUUUGACUUUAAUUUAUUAUAUAAAUGUGACUUAUAAAUAUUCAAUGAACUAAAGUUGAUGACAUUAGACUUCCUUAAAGAGUCCAAUUUACAAUUUAGUUAUUUAAAUUCCCCCAAACAUAUAAAGAUGUACCUUUGACUUUAAGAUUACUUAUUUAAAACCAAUUAUUGAAUUACCUACUUUAAAAUGGAAUUACAAGGCAAAUCUGUCAGAAUCUCAAUAUGCACAAAAUGUAAUUUAGAAUGAAUCAGUGUUGAAUUUUAAACAGAAUUUGCAUAUGUAGCUUGCUUUACUUCAUCAACGGUUUACCUCUAAAUCUUACCAAGGUUGGAAGUACUUAUUAAGGCAAUAGUUUUAUCUUUUUUAAAAAAUUUAAAGAUAUUAUCCCCAUACUGGUGGACUUACUAUCCCAGCAGAAAUAGGUACAUCUAGAAAAUGGGUAGGCAUGUUUUUCAGUUACCUAUGCUGGGUAACAAACACUCCCCAACUUGGGGGUGUGAAACAACUAUUUUAUUAUGCUCCCUGGUUCUGUUACAGGCAUAGCUUAUCUCUGCUACAUGACAUCAUGAUGUCUGGAGACCUCAGCUCUGGGGACUGGAAUGGUGGCAGGUGCAGGAAUCACGUGGUCAGACACUGACUCUUGUGUCUGAGUCUGGUUAGACUCAGGCUGGGUCUCAGGCUGAGUUCAGCUGGGAUGAUUGAUCAGAUACCCACACACAGCCCCUUCCUAUGGCUUGGGCUUCUCUCAACGUGGCAGCUGAGUUCUGGGAGGAAGCAUCCUGAGGGGGAGCAAGCAUUUCAAAGGAUCUAGGUAGGAGCUGCAUGGGUUUUAUGACAUAGCCUCAAACAUCACAUGGCAUUAAUGUGUGGUAUAUACUGUUGCUCAAAGCAGUCAGCCCCCCAUAUUGAAGGGAUUCUCUCAAUAGCAAGAAUGUCAAAGAAUUUGUAGACAUUAAAAAAAAAAAAAAAAA